rnacentral:lncRNA from 1 species
ACAUGAUGGGCAGAGCAGGUUUCCAUCGUGAAUCCAGCCAUUCAUCUGGAUACUGACAGGGAGGACCUGCCCAGCCCGACUACACAAAUAUGAAGUAUCUUGGACCCAAACUUUCAGACCUUGAGGAGAACAAGAAACCUUCAAACAGGAAAAAAAUAGAUAUAUAAAAAUAAUAAAUAUCAGGCCUAGCUGAGGACCCUGAGGGCAGAGGUGAGGUCCCGCCUUCCCACGCUGUCAGCAGGCGUCACGGUGGAAACUAGCUGAGGACCCUGAGGGCAGAGGUGAGGUCCCGCCUUCCCACGCUGUCAGCAGGCGUCACAUCACGGUGGAAACUAGCUGAAGACCCUGAGGGCAGAGAUGAAGUCCCGCCUUCCCACGCUGUCAGCAGGCGUCACAGUGGAACAGUGAUGCUUUCAGACAUGCAAGUCUCAACAUUGUUCUCCGUCACAUACUCCUCAAAUCUCCACUAGAAGAUAUGUUCCAUUAAAAUAAAAAAAAUCCAAAAAAGAAUAUGACACAAAAUCCAUGAAGGAGGGGAUCCAAUAUGAGAGAGACAGAGGGACCAGAGGGACCUCCAGGAUGAUCCUGACUCGAGAUCCCAAGAUGCCAGCUGUGCUGCCAACAUAAGGAUUAUAUAGUCGAGAUUAGCACAGGCCAGAAAUGUCCAGAAGAGAUUUCCUCAAGAUGAAAUGGAUAGAAUACCUCAGGUAUCUGGUUCUACUGAAAGGAGAUGAGCCCAACUGGGAGAAGAGCUUAGAAUUGAAUUAGUGCUAAAUACAAAGAAAACUAAUUGCAAAAAAACAAGGUCUUAAAUCCAGAGAAAACGAAAUACUGGGGAGAACGGGGAAGUAAUGAUUGCAUGCUACCAGGCGCCACGUCUGCAUAGUCCUGGUGUCAAAGCCCACAGAAUGUAGAACACCCAGAGUGAACCCUAAUGUGAACAUGGACUUCGGAUGAUGAUGUCGGUUCAUCGAAACACCCAGAGUGAACCCUAAUGUGAACAUGGACUUCGGAUGAUGAUGUCGGUUCAUUGAAAACACCCAGAGUGAACCCUAAUGUGAACAUGGACUUUGGAUGAUGAUGUGGGUUCAUCGAUUGUACCAAAAAUGCCUCUGUGGUACAGGAUGCUGACGGUGCGGAAGGCCACGAGUGUGUGGAGCAGGGGUAUAUGGGAACUCUCUGUACCUUCCACUUAAAUUUGUUGUGAACCUAAAAUUGCUCUAAAAAAUAAAGUCUAUUAAUAAUAAUAAAAAAGAAACCUCAAAAUAACACCAAAAA